GUCUUUACCAUGCCACCCUGAACAAGCCCGAUCCUGUCUGAUCUUGGAAGCUAAGCAGGGUCAGCCCUGGUUAGUACUUAGAUGGGAGACCACCUAGGAAGACCAGGCGCUGUAGGCC
rnacentral:rRNA from 1 species